CGCUUAUAAAUGAGGGCACAGCUGGGUUCUGUGAUAAAAUGCCCAACUCCACCUGCUCUAGAUGUUGCAAAGAGUUGCUGGAACCAAACCCCAGUGACUUGUCAGCAUUCACGCCACUCCUUCCAAACCCUCCAGAAAGCACACCUGUGGAUGAGAGGCGCAAUUAACGUUAUCAGUCGUGAAGGAUCAGAAGGAAAACCCAGUGGCCGUUGGGAAUUCAAUAGAGACCCCAAUUUUUAGUGGUAUAUGACUACCCAACUUCUCCAUGCUGCUAAGUGUGAUCCUGUGGCCAAGUUCAGCCAAUGGCAUUGAAGUACACGCGUCAAGUGGCAGCUUCUAGGAAUCUUCACUAAAGCGAACGCUGUGCACACUCUGACUUUCUUCAUUAUCUCUUCCACCUGUCUGUUGUUGAUGGACAUGAUGGCUGGAGCUGGAGCUGCCACCUUAGACCAUGAGGUGACACUGGGAAUGGAGACAUGUAUGGUGGACCAACAAGACAGAAGGAAUCCAGGUCCAUAAUGCUUCCUAGAGCAGAGCCCCACACCCAUCCUGGACCACCUGCCUCUGAGGUUUUAUGGGAGAAAGAAACAAAUUAGCAUCUUAUUUAAGCUGCUGUUACUUGGGCAGGGGCGGCCACUAUUACUUGGCAGCUGAACCUAAUCCUGACUGAUACAGUUGGGUCCUUUCCCUGGCUCAUACCAAGUGAUCCUUAAAUGUGUGUUGAAUUGGAUUAUGCCUGUGGUGUUGCAUCCAAUUUCACAAGUUUCCAUAGUUGGACUUCAGGGUUAGGCGUUCUGUCUCUGAAGAGCAGAGGGGCAGGUGCCUCUCCUUCAAUCCAUGUCCCUGUGCAAGUAGUGGUGAGUUUGUGACUCAGAAUAAAAACCCCUCUAGCCCUUUGAGCACAACGGAGCCUGUUACUGAAGGCCUGUGCGGUAGUUUGUUCUAUUUGCAGUAGAAUGAGGGUGGGUAAGAGGGACGAAGAGAAAGAAGUAGAGAAAAAGCAAAGCAGUUCUCUGUGCCAUUCCACUUUCUCUCCCAAUCUCCCAGGAAUAGGGAUACUAUUUCUUUUUUUAAUAUAGUGCUUUUUUUUUGUAGAAAUACAGGGUCUCACUAGGUUGCCCAGACUAGAUUCAAACUCCCGGGUUCAAGUGAUCCUCCUGCCUCAGCCUCCCAAGUAGCUGGGACUACAGGCAUGCUCCACCAUGCCUGGUGCAGAGUUGCUAUUUCUUGAAUACAGUUUAUAUCCAUGAUUACCAAUCCUGCAGGCCAGAGAACAUUUACCCUGCUUUGUACACAGUGUUCUACGGUUUGCUCAAGGCUCACAGCUAUGGAACCACAGAGCCAGGAUUGGAGUCCACGUCUGCUGGGCUUCAAAACCUGAGCUCUCCUCAAACCCACAUAUUAUACAUCUCCCCCAAAACCUAUCCAUCUUGCUGUUUGGAAAAACUUGUAAUCCCAGGCCUGCAAUCAAGUUGUUCUGAGUUGCUGUGACAGCAGGAGCCCACCACAAUCCAGGACACACAAGGUGGCGGAGAGGAUGGGCUUCCAAAUGCUGGGAUAUCAAAGUACAAAUCCCUGCUCUCCGGCUCAGCAUUUGUGUGACUUUGGGUACAUUCCUCGGCCUCUCCAUAUUCAUUUCUUCAUCUGCAAGCAGUAAGAACACCCAUCUCAAGGGUUUUCCAUGAAGGCUAAGUUUUAACCAAUGUGAUAACUUAUAUAAAGUGUCUGGCAAAAGAAGGAGCUUGUAUUAGUCCAUUCUCACGCUGCUAUAAGGACAUAUCCAAGACUGGGUAAUAUAUAAAGGAAAGAGGUUUCAUUGACUCACAGUUCCACAGGGCUGGGGAGGCCUCAGGAAACUGACAAUCAUGGUGGAAGGGGAGGCAAACACGUCCUUCUUCAUAUGGUGGCAGCAAGGAGAAGUGCAGAGCGAGGCAGGGAAAGGCCCCUUUUAAAACCGUCAGAUCUCAUGAGAACUCACUCACUGUCAUGAGAAUAGUAUGGGGGGAAUCACCCCCAUGAUUCAAUU
rnacentral:lncRNA from 1 species